GACCAAGGAGUUUAUUGUGUACGCGAGUCAUUGGGUGAAUAAAACUCAAAGGGGAAAUGAAAGUAAAGAGUUGAGCAUAAUUUAAAAAUAAAUUAAUUUUUUUUUUUUUAUUAUAGUUCCUAAUCAGGAACAUAGAAAUUGCUUUAAUAAUAAUUGUACUUGUUAUAAUUCUUUUUUAAUGCCAAUUUAUUGCACUCCCAGGGCGCUUGUUUAACGCUUGCGUGCCAGUGCGCACGUGGAGCGUACGAGAUGAUACCUGAAAGAUGGUGAAAUAGGCCAGGCCGGGAGGAAGCCGGGGGAAACCGGGAAGGAGGUCCGCAGCGAUUAAGACGUGCAAAUCGAUAAUCGGAGCGGGGUACCGGGGCGAAAGGCCGAAAGAACCAUCUAGUAGCUGGUUCCCUGGGACCUUUCCAUCAGGCC
rnacentral:rRNA from 1 species